GCCUGGGUGGCUCAGUCAGUGAGCAUCUGACUUAAGCUCAGGUUAUGAUCUCAUGGUCUGUGGGUUUGAAUCCCACGUCGGGCU
rnacentral:tRNA from 1 species